GCCAGUGUCCUGCAACUUUCAGAUGUGUCCCUUGUCCUACACACUUGAUUUAAAUGGUGAAAGUGUCUCACUAGCAUGCAGUCAACUCUAAAGAGCCUUGCUAAUGAGCUCAUAUUGGAGUCAGGUGUGCUGAAGCACAGAACUGGAAGACUGGAGUUUGAAACCACUGAUCUAAAGGCAGAUUAUGAGACACAAGGCUCUGCUAAAGUCUGACUAGCCCUAUCAUUCGUAAGGAUUUGCUCAGUUGAUGCCACUCAAAUGACUCAACCAGUGAUGCCUCCUCCUGGUCAGUCAGUGAUCUAACAUCCCAUUAGUGGCUCCAUUUGGCAUGCCUUGAACCACAGCUGAGUACAGUAUUUGAAUUGAGAAAAGGAAGCCAAGGGUUACUAAAGCAAGAAUGCAGCUGAGAAAAUCUGCAGACUUCAGACAGAAUAAACUUCUGCUUC